rnacentral:ncRNA from 1 species
UGGUCCUGACCUUGAAAUCAGUUAUUACUUAAUAUAUACAUGCAAGUUUCCGCACCCCUGUGAAAACGCCCUUAAAUUCCCCACUAGGGAAAAGGAGCCGGUAUCAGGCACAACAAAAUCGCCCAAGACACCUAGCUACGCCACACCCACAAGGGGAACUCAGCAGUAAUUAACAUUGAGCAUAAGCGACAGCUUGACUCAGUUAAAGUAAAAAGAGCCGGCAAAUCUGGUGCCAGCCGCCGCGGUUACACCACGUGGCUCAAAUUGAUCUCUACCGGCGUAAAGCGUGAUUAAAGUUCUACCUCCGUUAGAGUCAAACUAAAACUAAGCUGUGACACGCUUGUAUUUGAGAAGCCCAAAGACGAAAGUUACUCCAAUUUAACCAACUUGAACCCACGACAACUGAGACACAAACUGGGAUUAGAUACCCCACUAUGCUCAGUCGUAAACUUUAAAUUACACCCACUAUCGCCAGGGAACUACGAGCAAAGCUUAAAACCCAAAGGACUUGACGGUACCCCACAUCCACCUAGAGGAGCCUGUCCUAUAAUCGAUACCCCCCGCUAAACCUCACCACUUUUCGCCCAUUCAGCCUGUAUACCUCCGUCGUCAGCUUACCACGUGAGCGCAACUCAGUGAGCUCAAUGCCCAUACGCCAACACGUCAGGUCAAGGUGCAGCAAAUGAAGUGGGAAGAGAUGGGCUACACUCUCUAACAUAGAAAAUACAAAAGACUACCUAUGAAACCUAGUCUGAAGGCGGAUUUAGAAGUAAAAAGAAAAAAGAAUGUUCUUUUUAACCCGGCACUGGGGUGUGUACACACCGCCCGUCACCCUCUUCAAGGCCAUCUAAAAGUAAAUAACCAACCAUUGCACAACAGAAGAGGCAAGUCGUAACAUGGUAAGUAUACCGGAAGGUGUGCUUGGAAA